GUGUUAGACUAACUAUCUGUUUGUCUUAUAGUAACAGCCACUCUCCUGUGAGAUGUUCUUUUGAAGAUCACAAUACAUCUACUCCUGUUGCUAAAGCAACUAAGAACAAGAGCAAGGAUUCAGUUGAUAGUUUGAGGUUGACAAAGACAUGCUGUGCCAGUUGCAGAUGUGGGGCUUAUUUCUUUGCUACGGGGCUUAUCUAUUUCAGCAAGUGGAAUCUGUGAUAUUAAUUGCAAAACUCUCUGGUUCUACAAGAGUUCAAAACUUAUUAGGAGGGAGCAUUUACACUGGUAACAACGUUAGACCAUGCAACUGAAACACUGCACAAGUAAAUCUACUAUGCGAUCUUGAACACUUGUUUCCAGGACUUUCAUACCUCAGUGACACAAGCUUUGUCUCACUAACAUACAACAACUCCUCCAGUUGUAUUGCUUAUUAGGGCUAUUUAAGCUUAUACGGUAACUUAAUUAAAAUAUAAUUCAUAUUUCUAAAAUAUUUAAAAUAAAACUUG